rnacentral:tRNA from 1 species
GCGGGCGUGAUGGAAUGGUAGACAUACAGGACUUAAAAUCCUGAGGCCCUAGGCCGUGCGGGUUCGAGUCCCGCCGCCCGUACCA